GAUGAAGAACGUAGCGAAAUGCGAUAAGUAGUGUGAAUUGCAGAAUUCAGUGAAUCAUCGAAUCUUUGAACGCACAUUGCGCCCUUUGGUAUUCCUUAGGGCAUGCCUGUUCGAGCGUCAUUUCAACCCUCAAGCUCAGCUUGGUGUUGGGACUCGCGGUAACCCGCGUUCCCCAAAUCGAUUGGCGGUCACGUCGAGCUUCCAUAGCGUAGUAAUCAUACACCUCGUUACUGGUAAUCGUCGCGGCCACGCCGUAAAACCCCAACUUCUGAAUGUUGACCUCGGAUCAGGUAGGAAUACCCGCUGAACUUAAGCAUAUCAAUAAGCGGAGGA
rnacentral:misc_RNA from 1 species